rnacentral:rRNA from 1 species
GGCGUAGUCGAUGGGAAACGGGUUAAUAUUCCCGUACUUGGUGUUACUGCGAAGGGGGGACGGAGAAGGCUAUGUUGGCCGGGCGACGGUUGUCCCGGUUUAAGCGUGUAGGUGUGUGUUCCAGGUAAAUCCGGUUCACUUUAACACUGAGGCGUGAUGACGAGGCACUACGGUGCUGAAGUAACAAAUGCCCUGCUUCCAGGAAAAGCCUCUAAGCAUCAGGUAACAUCAAAUCGUACCCCAAACCGACACAGGUGGUCAGGUAGAGAAUACCAAGGCGCUUGAGAGAACUCGGGUGAAGGAACUAGGCAAAAUGGUGCCGUAACUUCGGGAGAAGGCACGCUGACACGUAGGUGAAGUGAUUUACUCACGGAGCUGAAGUCAGUCGAAGAUACCAGCUGGCUGCAACUGUUUAUUAAAAACACAGCACUGUGCAAACACGAAAGUGGACGUAUACGGUGUGACGCCUGCCCGGUGCCGGAAGGUUAAUUGAUGGGGUCAGCGCAAGCGAAGCUCCUGAUCGAAGCCCCGGUAAACGGCGGCCGUAACUAUAACGGUCCUAAGGUAGCGAAAUUCCUUGUCGGGUAAGUUCCGACCUGCACGAAUGGCGUAAUGAUGGCCAGGCUGUCUCCACCCGAGACUCAGUGAAAUUGAACUCGCUGUGAAGAUGCAGUGUACCCGCGGCAAGACGGAAAGACCCCGUGAACCUUUACUAUAGCUUGACACUGAACAUUGAGCCUUGAUGUGUAGGAUAGGUGGGAGGCUUUGAAGUGUGGACGCCAGUCUGCAUGGAGCCGACCUUGAAAUACCACCCUUUAAUGUUUGAUGUUCUAACGUGGACCCGUUACCCGGGUUGCGGACAGUGUCUGGUGGGUAGUUUGACUGGGGCGGUCUCCUCCUAAAGAGUAACGGAGGAGCACGAAGGUUGGCUAAUCCUGGUCGGACAUCAGGAGGUUAGUGCAAUGGCAUAAGCCAGCUUGACUGCGAGCGUGACGGCGCGAGCAGGUGCGAAAGCAGGUCAUAGUGAUCCGGUGGUUCUGAAUGGAAGGGCCAUCGCUCAACGGAUAAAAGGUACUCCGGGGAUAACAGGCUGAUACCGCCCAAGAGUUCAUAUCGACGGCGGUGUUUGGCACCUCGAUGUCGGCUCAUCACAUCCUGGGGCUGAAGUAGGUCCCAAGGGUAUGGCUGUUCGCCAUUUAAAGUGGUACGCGAGCUGGGUUUAGAACGUCGUGAGACAGUUCGGUCCCUAUCUGCCGUGGGCGCUGGAGAACUGAGGGGGGCUGCUCCUAGUACGAGAGGACCGGAGUGGACGCAUCACUGGUGUUCGGGUUGUCAUGCCAAUGGCACUGCCCGGUAGCUAAAUGCGGAAGAGAUAAGUGCUGAAAGCAUCUAAGCACGAAACUUGCCCCGAGAUGAGUUCUCCCUGAGACUUUAGGUCUCCUGAAGGAACGUUGAAGACGACGACGUUGAUAGGCCGGGUGUGUAAGCGCAGCGAUGCGUUGAGCUAACCGGUACUAAUGAACCGUGAGGCUUAACCUUACAACGCCG